CCUAAAAUAAACCAUUUUUUUCUUUUUUCUUUUUAAUUUUUCGUCUUAUUUAAAAUUUUUUACGAUUGAUAUUUUUGUUUUUAUUAGAUGAUAAAUCAUGAAUAGUAUUUUGCGUGUGACUAAUUUUUUUUAAUUUCCUAAAUUUUUUUUAAAUAAGACGUAUGGUCAAACGUUGGACACGGAAACUGGAG
rnacentral:pre_miRNA from 1 species